UUCCCUGUAAACCAGCGGCAGCUACUCCUUCCCACAGGAUGGGUGGUUUCCAACGCCUCUUCCUGGUUCAGGUUACCACCGGGAAUUGUAUGACCUUGAACCCGCUCGUCUCCCCCCCGCCCCCCACGUUCCUUUAAGACUUAUUGCAACCUGGGGCUUUAAGCGUUAUUCAUGGAUUCACACAGUCGGCCUCAGUGUCAAAAGAAAACACUGAUGUCAGUAGAAUGUUGUGCACCGAGCCUGUAGCUGCUGAACAGAAGAGGCAGAGUGAGCUUUUAGGAGAUGUGGAGAUUCUCCCACCUGAGAGCUGACCAAUAGCUUGCCCAGUGUGUGGGUUCAGGAGGACGGCCAUGUUUUUGUCUUCAUGAUUCCACUAAUAUACUAACGUUCUCUAUUGAAAAAUAAAAAGGAGGCUUUCACAGAGCAACUUGAUUUAUACUGAGAUCUAAUUACACACAGUUGGACUCCUGGAGACUUCUGAAGGCCAAUUGGUUUCUCAGGAUUAUAAUUUUGGGAGAGCUCUCAAUUAAAGACAGAGAAAGUGACGCGCCCCUGCUGAAAAAGUCAACUUUUGGUCGUUAACGUGUGGCAUCGAGUUCAUCGCUGAAACAGGAGGGAAAACAUCAUGUGCACGGUGACGGAAGUUUGAGGUUUCGGCUUUUAUCGCCACCCAAAUCUGCUUGAUCUGUUUGGGGUUUCCUGUGUAAGUCACCAUCAUGUGCCCUAAAGAAAGGACUGCGCGCACAAACGCUCACAGACGCAAAGAGCUAAAACCCAGUUUGGCUUUAUUCUAAGUAAAGCCUUAAAGUCUUUAAACUGACACAAACGCAUUCAAGAAAAAAUGUCGGCCUUUCAGUCACCAGUUUCAGUCUCUAAACUGGGACUUCUUGACACAUUGUCACUGUGAGUCAUCGCACAACGGCACGCAAAUGGGAAAUGAUACGGCAUAUACUGAUCGCCCGGGAUCACAUGUUGCUCAUCUGUGACUGCUGCCGCAUUUCCCGGAGCCACAAAUACAGCAGCGGCUGCUCAGACGCCGACGGAAACAGCCGAUGAGGGCCAGCAGCCCCGCAAUCCUCAACUGGCUCCCGGUGAUCCGCUGCAAACCUGCUGAAGAGCCCACCUAGAUGAGGCGGAGAAGGGAAACUCCUUCCCUUCGCCUCGCUCCGUGUGGAAGCGAGAGCUCAGAGGGGAAAAUCUUGUGCCGCCAUUGUUCGCUCUCAAAAAAAAAAAAAAUGUUUAAAUGCUGCAGGGAUGAGUGUCAGCACAGAAUUCAUUUUUACAGCAAGAUUCCGAUUGACAAUUUUUUUUUUUUUUUUACACAGUUUUAAAGAGAUAUGCAUUUCUACAGGAAAUAAAAGCAAAUCUGUAU